AUCGCCAUUCUAACUGGCGUGAGAUGGUAUCUCAAUGUGGUUUUGAUUUGCAUCUCUCUGAUGACCAGUGACGAUGAGCAUUUUUUCAUAUGAUUGUUGGCCUCAUAUAUGUCUUCUUUCGUAAAGUAUCUGUUCAUAUCCUUUGCCCACUUUUGAAUGGGCUUGUUUGUUUUUUUCCUGUAAAUCUGCUUGAGUACAAUUUUUUUUCUUAUAUAGGGUCCUACAUAAUCUCUUGAGAUAAUGCAGAUACUAAGAUAUGAUGAACUUGAAAAUGAGAAACAUAGAGCUCUCAGGCUCGAAUUGGCUGAAAUUGGCUGAAAUGUUAUUUUCUUGAAUUGGCUCAGAUUGACUUGAGGUGCCCUUUAGUCUUCCAUUCCUGCCAAAUUUUUGAGCACAUAACCAGAAUGACCAUGUACAGACAUUGCUUCACACAAGCACAGCUGAUAGCAAGUGAUCGUGAAGCAAUCUUUCCCCCUCUUUCUCUUUCCAUUGAAAUUACUCUUUAGAGUUAUUUCCCUUCCUGGAUGAAAAGUGUGGCAGUUUGUGGUCACUUUUAUGGAACAGUUUUUCUGUCAUUGAAACUCAUAAGACAUGGACUCAGUAUUUCAAGGUUCAAUCUCACAUAAUAUUCAAAACUUCAAUUUUACUUUAAUGUUAAAGUUCUCUUUUUUUCUCUUCUUCUCUAUCUCAAUGGCUGGUUUCUACUUCUCAGAGAUCAGAAUGGGGGAGAAAGAAGAGGAAGGGGCAGGAAAGUUCCAUCUGGUAUGGCUGUGGUCUAGCUCCAGUGUUUUCUAGGCUUGCAGGUGGUGAGAGCUCGCUUUUUCUCUUGUGGGAGGCUUUCACAUGGGUUCUUCAGAGACUCUCAUCACUGGAGAUCUUUCAGUUGAAGCUCUCUGGAAAUGACAAAUGCAUCCCUAUUUCUCUUGGUUGCUUGAUUCUUAACCCCAUUUCAUUAAACAAUACCCAAUUCAUUCUCUUUUUUCUCUUCUGCAGGAUGUACUUACAUCCCAACAAACUGAAAAUGCUGACCAACUGCAGCACAGCCAACUCGAAUUUGCUCUUUCGUCAAAGUGACCAGCACCUCAUUUCUUCGUCUUUAGAAUUUGUAGUGGACCUGGAAUACAGUCAUGAUCCUGAAUUGCUCUCAACCACGUAG
rnacentral:lncRNA from 13 species